GACAUGGUAAAUCAAGAGCUUAUAGAACACGAGAUACAGAUUACCCAGAAAAGAAAAAGAAAACAAAGUGAACAAGACAAAACCAGACCUGAAUUGAAAAAGCAGAAGAAAGGCAAAAAAGGAAAUACGAAGAACAUGACUACUAGACGCACCAUAUAUAAUAGCUCAUAUGUAUAUGGCUAUAUAUGUCAAAAGAAACAGAC